UUCCUAUCGCAUCGUCGCCAUUUCAGCACCUCCCGUCGCCAGUCCACCCCAUCCCCGCCUACGCCGCCGUCCAUCUCCCUCGCCGCCUCCGUCGCCUGUCCAGCGCCGUCGCCUGUCCAGUGCCGUCGCCUUGUACGCUCCCUCGCCGCACUCGCCCUUCCUCGCCGCCUUCUCCAUCGCCAGCGCCCCUCCGUCGACGUCCGCCUCCCCGCCUCCCCCGAUAUCGGCGGCUUCCCUCCGUCGAAGCCCUUCCUCGUCGCCCUCGCCUCCUUCUCCUCCGCCCGCGUCUCAGCGCCGGCUUGUGAGCCCCCACCGUCGCCGUCCUCCUCCCCCGCCCCCUUGUCCAGCGAGUCGCGUGACGUAGUCGCCCCUCCACCCGCCUCCGCCGGCGCGCGACGAGUCCUCUUCGGCGCGUCGCCUCCCCGAGCCACCACCGCCACGGUCUCCUCCCCAUGGACCGACGCACCAUUCUCCACUCCACCGCUGUCGCCAUCGACCUAGCCGCUCCCUUCUCUGAAGUCUGAACAUGCCCUUGGCAACCGAUUUAACCCAGUUGUUCAGAUACUAUGCGAGGAAUCGAGAGGAGACAGCCGAGCUUCAGGGUCAGUUUGCAAGACGGUGGCAUGCGCGAAGGGUGGCAUGCGCGAAGGGGAUCCGCAUGCCGGCGAAGGGGUUAUCGGUGUCAAGGUGCGACAUUGUAGCAGACGCACGUCGGUGACGUCGACAGCUGACUGCGCUGAGUCACCACGAAGCGUUGAACAAUUCUGGUUUAUUGAUUUUUGGUGCCUCAAAUAUGUCAUCUCCUUUUGAUGGCAGUCCAAGCAAACAAUCAACAUCAUCGAGUGUCAUCGUUACGAAGUUCCCUCUAGUAUGUAUGUGUGGAACAAUACGAAGAAUGGUAGCUGAAUCCAAGGAUCCAGAUCUCUCAAAGUUGGAGCUUGUACAUGUACCAGGGGGAGCUUUAGCAUUUCAACUUGCUGCCAAGUUCUGUUAUGGGAGCUUUAGCAUUUGUUUAAUUCACUAAAAAAUUGAUUCUAUAUACGCUCUGUUAGGUGGGAAAAUCAGCUAUAUGUUGGGUAACAAAAGUGUAUGGUGCUGUAGUAUGAGUUAUACCUGACCCCUUUAAACUGUUGCCUGUAUUAUCCCAUGUAGCAGGCCCGUAUUUCUUGGGACAUCUCGCCAUGGUGUUUUGUCUGUGAGGCUGCUACGUCCUCUAAACAUUUGAUACAGAGACUAGCCAGAGCUCAAAAGAGGCACGCAGUUUCAUCAGGAAAGAGACUAUCUUCCUAAAUAAUCUAGUCAUAUCUGCUAUACUUAUCAUAGCACCUUAGAUCGGAUGUAUUUUUUGCUUGAGGAGUGUAUGAUUUGCAGUAGUGAUGUAUACAAGAGCUGAGAGUGAAAAUUUCAUGUAAAAAGACGUACCCGUUUUUUCUUCUGUUGGCUUGUGCCCGUCAUCGUGGGAGCAGAUUGUUUUUGUUUGCUCCUCAUGGGGGGCUCGUAAUUUGGCCUCAUGUUGUAAAGAAA